AGCGUACACGGUGGAUGCCCUGGCAGUCAGAGGCGAUGAAGGACGUGCUAAUCUGCGAAAAGCGUCGGUAAGGUGAUAUGAACCGUUAUAGCCGGCGAUGUCCGAAUGGGGAAACCCAGUGCAAUUCGUUGCACUAUCGUUUGAUGAAUACAUAGUCAAACGAGGCGAACCGGGGGAACUGAAACAUCUAAGUACCCCGAGGAAAAGAAAUCAACCGAGAUUCCCCCAGUAGCGGCGAGCGAACGGGGAGCAGCCCGGAGUCUGAAUCAGCUUGUGUGUUAGUGGAAGCGUCUGGAAAGUCGCAGGGUACAGGGUGAUACUCCCGUACACUAAANNNNNNNNNNUGUGAACUCGAAGAGUAGGGCGGGACACGUGGUAUCCUGUCUGAAUAUGGGGGGACCAUCCUCCAAGGCUAAAUACUCCUGACUGACCGAUAGUGAACCAGUACCGUGAGGGAAAGGCGAAAAGAACCCCGGCGAGGGGAGUGAAAAAGAACCUGAAACCGUGUACGUACAAGCAGUAGGAGCCUCUUUAUGGGGUGACUGCGUACCUUUUGUAUAAUGGGUCAGCGACUUAUAUUCUGUAGCAAGGUUAACCGUAUAGGGGAGCCGCAGGGAAACCGAGUCUUAACUGGGCGUUAAGUUGCAGGGUAUAGACCCGAAACCCGGUGAUCUAGCCAUGGGCAGGUUGAAGGUUGGGUAACACUAACUGGAGGACCGAACCGACUAAUGUUGAAAAAUUAGCGGAUGACUUGUGGCUGGGGGUGAAAGGCCAAUCAAACCGGGAGAUAGCUGGUUCUCCCCGAAAGCUAUUUAGGUAGCGCCUCGUGAACUCAUCUUCGGGGGUAGAGCACUGUUUCGGCUAGGGGGUCAUCCCGACUUACCAACCCGAUGCAAACUACGAAUACCGAAGAAUGUUAUCACGGGAGACACACGGCGGGUGCUAACGUCCGUCGUGAAGAGGGAAACAACCCAGACCGCCAGCUAAGGUCCCAAAGUCAUGGUUAAGUGGGAAACGAUGUGGGAAGGCCCAGACAGCCAGGAUGUUGGCUUAGAAGCAGCCAUCAUUUAAAGAAAGCGUAAUAGCUCACUGGUCGAGUCGGCCUGCGCGGAAGAUGUAACGGGGCUAAACCAUGCACCGAAGCUGCGGCAGCGACACUAUGUGUUGUUGGGUAGGGGAGCGUUCUGUAAGCCGUUGAAGGUGGCCUGUGAGGGUUGCUGGAGGUAUCAGAAGUGCGAAUGCUGACAUAAGUAACGAUAAUGCGGGUGAAAAACCCGCACGCCGGAAGACCAAGGGUUCCUGUCCAACGUUAAUCGGGGCAGGGUGAGUCGACCCCUAAGGCGAGGCCGAAAGGCGUAGUCGAUGGGAAACAGGUUAAUAUUCCUGUACUCGGUGUUACUGCGAAGGGGGGACGGAGAAGGCUAUGUUGGCCGGGCGACGGUUGUCCCGGUUUAAGCAUGUAGGCGGAUGUUCCAGGUAAAUCCGGAACGUUAUCAACGCUGAGGUGUGAUGACGAGGCACUACGGUGCUGAAGUGACAAAUGCCCUGCUUCCAGGAAAAGCCUCUAAGCAUCAGGUAACAUCAAAUCGUACCCCAAACCGACACAGGUGGUCAGGUAGAGAAUACCAAGGCGCUUGAGAGAACUCGGGUGAAGGAACUAGGCAAAAUGGUGCCGUAACUUCGGGAGAAGGCACGCUGAUAUGUAGGUGAAGUGGUUUACCCAUGGAGCUGAAAUCAGUCGAAGAUACCAGCUGGCUGCAACUGUUUAUUAAAAACACAGCACUGUGCAAACACGAAAGUGGACGUAUACGGUGUGACGCCUGCCCGGUGCCGGAAGGUUAAUUGAUGGGGUUAUCCGUAAGGAGAAGCUCUUGAUCGAAGCCCCGGUAAACGGCGGCCGUAACUAUAACGGUCCUAAGGUAGCGAAAUUCCUUGUCGGGUAAGUUCCGACCUGCACGAAUGGCGUAAUGAUGGCCAGGCUGUCUCCACCCGAGACUCAGUGAAAUUGAACUCGCUGUGAAGAUGCAGUGUACCCGCGGCAAGACGGAAAGACCCCGUGAACCUUUACUAUAGCUUGACACUGAACACUGGUCCUUGAUGUGUAGGAUAGGUGGGAGGCUUUGAAGUGUGGACGCCAGUCUGCAUGGAGCCAUCCUUGAAAUACCACCCUUUAAUGGCUGGUGUUCUAACGUGGGCCCCUAAUCGGGGUUGCGGACAGUGUCUGGUGGGUAGUUUGACUGGGGCGGUCUCCUCCUAAAGAGUAACGGAGGAGCACGAAGGUCAGCUAAUCCUGGUCGGACAUCAGGAGGUUAGUGCAAUGGCAUAAGCUGGCUUGACUGCGAGCGUGACGGCGCGAGCAGGUGCGAAAGCAGGUCAUAGUGAUCCGGUGGUUCUGAAUGGAAGGGCCAUCGCUCAACGGAUAAAAGGUACUCCGGGGAUAACAGGCUGAUACCGCCCAAGAGUUCAUAUCGACGGCGGUGUUUGGCACCUCGAUGUCGGCUCAUCACAUCCUGGGGCUGAAGUAGGUCCCAAGGGUAUGGCUGUUCGCCAUUUAAAGUGGUACGCGAGCUGGGUUUAGAACGUCGUGAGACAGUUCGGUCCCUAUCUGCCGUGGGCGCUGGAGAAUUGAGGGGGGCUGCUCCUAGUACGAGAGGACCGGAGUGGACGCAUCACUGGUGUUCGGGUUGUCAUGCCAAUGGCAUUGCCCGGUAGCUAAAUGCGGAAGAGAUAAGUGCUGAAAGCAUCUAAGCACGAAACUUGCCCCGAGAUGAGUUCUCCCUGACUCCUUGA
rnacentral:rRNA from 1 species